rnacentral:rRNA from 1 species
AUUGAACGCUGGCGGCAGGCCUAACACAUGCAAGUCGAGCGAGUGGCGGACGGGUGAGUAAUGUCUGGGAAACUGCCUGAUGGAGGGGGAUAACUACUGGAAACGGUAGCUAAUACCGCAUACCAUCAGAUGUGCCCAGGUGGGAUAAGCUAGUAGGUGGGGUAACGGCUCACCUAGGGGACGAUCCCUAGCUGGUCUGAGAGGAUGACCAGCAACACUGGAACGGAGACACGGCCCAGACUCCUACGGGAGGCAGCAGUGGGGAAUAUUGCACAAUGGGCGCAAGCCUGAUGAAGCCAGGCCGCGUGUGUGAAGAGGGCCUUCGGGUUGUAAGGCACUUUCAGCGGGGAGGCGUUACCCGCAGAAGAAGCACCGGCUAACUCCGUGCCAGCAGCCGCGGUAAUAC